UAUACACAAACUAAUCUAUGUCUUAAGAGGCUACAUAUUAAGACGAUCGAUAAUGGUUUAAGCAAAGUCAAAAGAUAAACACAAAAGAAUAAAUAACUUUACUGCCGAUAUCGAACUACGUAUCGUUUACUUUAUAUUUAAUCGUGACCUUUCCAACACUUUAUUUAAUAUUAGUUAAUUAAGGAUGACUUUGUCAUGAUGAUUCGAUCAAAUAACAAUGCGUCUAGCCGUGCUGUUUCGUGCAUUUUGAACGUACGUGACAAACGUCAUUGUGACCCAAUAUAUUGCAUUUUUGAAAUUUAUAAAGAUUAUUGCGAUUUGCUCGUCAAUGAUGGAUCAUGGACGAUCACGAAACGAGAGAUCAUCAGUAUAAUAACUACGAGUGAAGAUGACCGAAGAACGAAGAGAUAAAUCGUCUCUCACGGAAAUCCUUAGCGAAUAAAUCGAAGUGGAAAGAAGGAGAAAAAGAGAUAGGAAAGAGCAGAGUCGUCCCACUUUCAAGCUUUACGAGGACUUUGCAUUCUCGCGAGAAAUGCGUGCAUAUCGUAUGGAUCUUGAAGAGCCUUAGAUGUAACUCAAAGGGUGGGAAGAAUUCACGACGCUAUCAAUUGCAAGCUAUACGAAAAGGUCAUGAUCGAUUAACUUAAACACAUAGAGGCCUCUUAAGUUAAAUGUGUGCAUAUACAAGUUGUCGGAAAGAUUGGCUGGAGUUUUUAAUAAAAAAUAUUGAUAUGAAAAAGUGUGAAAAAUGAAGUCGAGAAAAAACAUAUAU